rnacentral:rRNA from 1 species
GAUGAACGCUGGCGGCGUGCCUAAUACAUGCAAGUCGAGCGAACAGACGAGGAGCUUGCUCCUUCGACGUUAGCGGCGGACGGGUGAGUAACACGUAGAUAACCUACCUAUAAGACUGGGAUAACUUCGGGAAACCGGAGCUAAUACCGGAUAAUAUUUCGAACCGCAUGGUUCGAUAGUGAAAGAUGGCUUUGCUAUCACUUAUAGAUGGACCUGCGCCGUAUUAGCUAGUUGGUAAGGUAACGGCUUACCAAGGCAACGAUACGUAGCCGACCUGAGAGGGUGAUCGGCCACACUGGAACUGAGACACGGUCCAGACUCCUACGGGAGGCAGCAGUAGGGAAUCUUCCGCAAUGGGCGAAAGCCUGACGGAGCAACGCCGCGUGAGUGAUGAAGGUCUUCGGAUCGUAAAACUCUGUUAUUAGGGAAGAACAAACGUGUAAGUAACUGUGCACGUCUUGACGGUACCUAAUCAGAAAGCCACGGCUAACUACGUG